AGCGAACGCUGGCGGCAGGCCUAACACAUGCAAGUCGAACGAUCCUUCGGGAUAGUGGCGGACGGGUGAGUAACACGUGGGAACGUGCCCUUUGGUUCGGAACAACUCAGGGAAACUUGAGCUAAUACCGAAUGUGCCCUUCGGGGGAAAGAUUUAUCGCCAUUGGAGCGGCCCGCGUCUGAUUAGCUAGUUGGUGAGGUAACGGCUCACCAAGGCGACGAUCAGUAGCUGGUCUGAGAGGAUGAUCAGCCACAUUGGGACUGAGACACGGCCCAAACUCCUACGGGAGGCAGCAGUGGGGAAUCUUGCGCAAUGGGCGAAAGCCUGACACAGCCAUGCCGCGUGAAUGAUGAAGGUCUUAGGAUUGUAAAAUUCUUUCACCGGGGACGAUAAUGACGGUACCCGGAGAAGAAGCUCCGGCUAACUUCGUGCCAGCCGCCGCCGUAAAAC
rnacentral:rRNA from 1 species